UAUAAAUCCUAAAAAAUAGGAUCUUAAUCUCUAUGCUGAGAAGCAAUAUCAGUCAUGAAACUGUUUUCUGAAUUGCAAAUGAAAUUUCGUAUUCCUAAUGAGAAAAAUAAGUUCAAAUAUGUGAAAAGCAUUUUUCAUGGAAAUCUAUCAAUUUUGUCGAAAUUUCUUGUUUUGACUGAAGCGCCAUCUAUGGACUAGUAGUGGAAUUCGUAUCACGGUGUUCUAUUCAGAAAUGUUUCCACAGAAUUCUACAUACUUUUAUACUAUGACAAUUUAAAAUCAUGAAAUUUGAAACGUACGAUUUUCUAUCUGUUGUCUGUGGUUCCCCGAAUUACGUAAAUUUGAAUAUCGUUUCAUUGAUGAAAAAAUAAUGAAACAUAGGUUGAUGGAAAUUGCAAGCUUUAAUUUUUCUACCAGAUUUGCACUAAUGAUUGAGUGGGCGUACUAAUAAAUUCUGCAACUGAGAAUCGCAAAGCAAGUUCAGUAAAAUAUUCACCUUUUGGCAUUUAUUCUUCAGAUUAGUUAAUUUUUCAAAUUUUCUGCAAUAGGUAUAACACAAAAUCUCGGUAAUUACUUUUUUAUUGAACAAAAAAAAAACCAUAAUACAAAUGCAAUCUAAAAAAGUUCUUUAACUUUAGCUGUAACAUUUUCUAAAACAUUUUUGAAUGAAGGAUCCCCAUUCACUUUGAAAAUGCCAGGAUUUGCCAUAUUUUCAUAUGCCUGUACAACACUGAAAGAAAAGUAUUCCAUUAUAAUAAAUAACUAUAUCAAUUAA